ensembl:lncRNA
UUUCCCUUCCUCACUUACACCCCUGGGCUCCAUUAAGCAGUCCAGCUGUGGGCCACGUUUACCAGGUGCCCACAGGUCACCCCUAGAAGGCCACACAGGGGUUGCACCCAGGGCCUUGCUUGGCACUUUCAGAGUUUAUAGCCUCUGGACCAGAAAAGGACUGACCCAUUUCAUUGGUUGAGGUCAGUAGGAAAUUAAAGUAAUUAGUGGGAACAGGACUGGGCUGGGUGUCAGAAGACCUGGGUUGACUUCCAGCUGGGCCAUUGCUUAGCCACGUGACCUUGAGCAAGGAACUUAAUCCCGGCAGACCCAAGUUUUUUUUCAGUUGAGAAAUGAGGUUUUGAUAAAAGUGAUCUGGGGAAUAAACCUGAGCCAAGUGAUCGAUUUUGUGUGCACGUGGGUGGCUGUGCCUCUGCAGCUAUGUGUAUACGUGUAAAGUAUGAAAGGAUCAAUCCAAGGAGAAAUGGAUUUGAGCAACCACAGCACAAACAUUCAGAAGUGGAAGUGAGCAGCCGGGAUGGUGAGAAGACUGAUUUGGAUGAUUCAGAAACAGACCUCUGCUCCUCGGGAUCUGACAGCUCACAGUGAAUUGGGACAAUAAUACUACACGAGACACAGCAGAGACCAACGCCCCAGGAGCCCCAGGAAACGGACUACGACCGAGGGAGAACACCCCAGAAUUCAUCUCAGGGAAAAUGUCUUUGAACCUACCUGAACUUGAGCUCUUCCAACGCCGGUGGCUGAAAGAAAACACACUUCAUGCUCUCCUCCUUGGUCUAAUUUCAGUGAUUAUUCCUUCCCAUCUUGCGCAGCUGCCAUCAGACUGAUUUUAGUUCCUGGGGAUUAAACAGUUUCUGAAGGUUGUUAUCACUCCCCUUCAGUGGAGCAUAUCUUCAAACACCUUCCUGGAUAAUUACCAUGGCCCAGUGAUUGGGCAAUCACCAGAGUGAUUUUAAACACACACACACACACACACACACACACAUUCUUCUCCAGCGUGUUCCUUUGUGUUUGUUUUGGUUUUGCAUUUUCAAAGCCCAGCGGUUCGUGAGAGACAGUAGAAGGACAAAAU